AGUUUGAUUCUGGCUCAGGACGAACGCUGGCGGCGUGCUUAACACAUGCAAGUCGAACGGAAAGGUCUCUUCGGAGAUACUCGAGUGGCGAACGGGUGAGUAACACGUGGGCAAUCUGCCCUGCACUUCGGGAUAAGCCUGGGAAACUGGGUCUAAUACCGGAUAGGACCACUUGGCGCAUGCCUUGUGGUGGAAAGCUUUUGCGGUGUGGGAUGGGCCCGCGGCCUAUCAGCUAGUUGGUGGGGUGAUGGCCUACCAAGGCGACGACGGGUAGCCGGCCUGAGAGGGUGUCCGGCCACACUGGGACUGAGAUACGGCCCAGACUCCUACGGGAGGCAGCAGUGGGGAAUAUUGCACAAUGGGCGCAAGCCUGAUGCAGCGACGCCGCGUGGGGGAUGACGGCCUUCGGGUUGUAAACCUCUUUCAGCAGGGACGAAGCGCAAGUGACGGUACCUGCAGAAGAAGCACCGGCCAACUACGUGCCAGCAGCCGCGGUAAUACGUAGGGUGCGAGCGUUGUCCGGAAUUACUGAGAGUAAAGACCUCGUUGGUGCUUUGUCGCGUCUGUCGAGAAAACCGGGGGCUUAACCCUGGGCAAAAAGGCGAUACGGGCAGACAAGAGUACUGCAGGGGAGACUGUAAUUCCUGGUGUAGCGGUGGAAUGCGCAGAUAUCAGGAGGAACACCGGUGGAGAAGGCGGGUCUCUGGGCAGUAAUUGACGCUGAGGAGCGAAAGCGUGGGGAGCGAACAGGAUUAGAUACCCUGGUAGUCCCCSCCGUAAACGGUGGGUACUAGGUGUGGGUUUCCUUCCUUGGGAUCCGUGCCGUAGCUAACGCAUUAAGUACCCCGCCUGGGGAGUACGGCCGCAAGGCUAAAACUCAAAGGAAUUGACGGGGGCCCGCACAAGCGGCGGAGCAUGUGGAUUAAUUCGAUGCAACGCGAAGAACCUUACCUGGGUUUGACAUGCACAGAACGC
rnacentral:rRNA from 1 species